AGAGCGAACGCUGGCGGCAGGCUUAACACAUGCAAGUCGAGCGGGCGUAGCAAUACGUCAGCGGCAGACGGGUGAGUAACGCGUGGGAACGUACCUUUUGGUUCGGAACAACACAGGGAAACUUGUGCUAAUACCGGAUAAGCCCUUACGGGGAAAGAUUUAUCGCCAAAAGAUCGGCCCGCGUCUGAUUAGCUAGUUGGUGAGGUAACGGCUCACCAAGGCGACGAUCAGUAGCUGGUCUGAGAGGAUGAUCAGCCACAUUGGGACUGAGACACGGCCCAAACUCCUACGGGAGGCAGCAGUGGGGAAUAUUGGACAAUGGGCGCAAGCCUGAUCCAGCCAUGCCGCGUGAGUGAUGAAGGCCCUAGGGUUGUAAAGCUCUUUUGUGCGGGAAGAUAAUGACGGUACCGCAAGAAUAACGCCCCGGCUAACUUCGUGCCAGCAGCCGC
rnacentral:rRNA from 1 species